ACGCUGGCGGCGUGCUUAACACAUGCAAGUCGAACGAUGAAGCCUAGCUUGCUAGGUGGAUUAGUGGCGAACGGGUGAGUAAUACGUGAGUAACCUACCUUUAACUCUGGGAUAAGCCUGGGAAACUGGGUCUAAUACCGGAUACGACCAAUCUCCGCAUGGGGUGUUGGUGGAAGGCGUUAUGUAGUGGUUAUAGAUGGGCUCACGGCCUAUCAGCUUGUUGGUGAGGUAACGGCUCACCAAGGCGACGACGGGUAGCCGGCCUGAGAGGGUGACCGGCCACACUGGGACUGAGACACGGCCCAGACUCCUACGGGAGGCAGCAGUGGGGAAUAUUGCACAAUGGGCGCAAGCCUGAUGCAGCGACGCCGCGUGAGGGAUGACGGCCUUCGGGUUGUAAACCUCUGUUAGCAGGGAAGAAGAGAAAUUGACGGUACCUGCAGAGAAAGCGCCGGCUAACUACGUGCCAGCAGCCGCGGUAAUACGUAGGGCGCGAGCGUUGUCCGGAAUUAUUGGUCGUAAAGAGCUUGUAGGCGGUUUGUCGCGUCUGCUGUGAAAGGCCGGGGCUUAACCCCGUGUAUUGCAGUGGGUACGGGCAGACUAGAGUGCAGUAGGGGAGACUGGAAUUCCUGGUGUAGCGGUGGAAUGCGCAGAUAUCAGGAGGAACACCGAUGGCGAAGGCAGGUCUCUGGGCUGUAACUGACGCUGAGAAGCGAAAGCAUGGGGAGCGAACAGGAUUAGAUACCCUGGUAGUCCAUGCCGUAAACGUUGGGCACUAGGUGUGGGGGACAUUCCACGUUUUCCGCGCCGUAGCUAACGCAUUAAGUGCCCCGCCUGGGGAGUACGGCCGCAAGGCUAAAACUCAAAGAAAUUGACGGGGGCCCGCACAAGCGGCGGAGCAUGCGGAUUAAUUCGAUGCAACGCGAAGAA
rnacentral:rRNA from 1 species